rnacentral:lncRNA from 1 species
CACUCCUGCAGGUUUCAGUUACUUUGGAUGUUAGGACUAGGGUAGGCUUUGGCCUCAUUUUCCCCUCUGGGCUCCCCAUGACUUUGAGGGGUAUCUUUCUUACUGUUGCUUCCUGGCUUGAUCCAAAUGCCAAUGUAGGCUUACUUUGGCUUUCUGCUGUUUCUCUGAGGCUCUUAAUGAGUCCACUUUGCUGUUUGCCAGCCGGUUCACUUUGUCAUCUCCUCUCUGCCAGUGUUGAUGCCUUUAACAAGGCAGAGUGAGAUGUGAUUCUCCAAGAGACCCUUCCAGUCAUUUACUUCUGAAUCCCCUUAAGGGAGUGUUGGAGGUGCAGGGUUUCACUGGGAAAAGCAAUAUGCCACUAGACUGGAUGCUGCUGCUUUAAACUGGCAUUGAUUCCAGUUCCUUUGAUUUGGAGAAUGACACCCCACCCCCACCUCAUCCCACCUUCCUCUUCACAACUUCAGAAACCUGGAGUUCUGCCAAAGCCAGAGAUGGAAAUGGGUCUGUGAUGGACAGGACCGAGGUUAGUGGAACAGUCUGGGCUGCCUCCUGAUGACCACUCCAGCUUAAAAACUCUUGGACUAGACUUGCUUUCACACGAACCUUGUUAGAUUUAUCAUCUGCUGAUUCCUUUAACGAUCUGGCCUGGGCUUGCAGGCGCCAUCUUGGGGUGUUGUCCGCCCGCUCAAUCCUACAAUGAAAGGGACCUUCACCCGCUCCUUUCGAGCCCUGCCUUGCCCCCAGCGCAGUCGGUGACCGGGGGCCAGGUCAGGGCUCAGCUUUACUAGCCGGGAAAGCCCCCUGUAUAGCCCCCCUGCUCCCCUUCCCUGGCAUCUUUCUUCCCUAACGAUCUGGCUUCUCGUACCCCCCCAGCCUCCCAGCCACGCGCCUCCUCCUUACCUGGCUCCUUCGGCGUAGUCUUCGCCGCGGCGGGCCGUCCAGGGCGUUGGCGGGUGAAGUUGGGGCCACCGCGCGGCGGGGGCUCCGCACACGGAGGACGGCCCACGGAUCGGCGAUAUCGGCCUAGGCGGGCAUUCAGGAUUAGGCUUAAGGAUCGCCCAAAGCGGCUGGCACCAGAUGCAGAUGUGCUACCCGUCCGCCGGCUCCCUAACAAUCAACAAACCAAAUGGUUUUUGCUCUUUGCCAAAACAGAGAUUCGAACCAGCACCAGCAAAAGGAUCUAGGAGAAAAGCAAUUUAGCCACAGCUCAAGCUGGCAAAGUGCUCCCAACCUAGGCGAAUGGGAAAAGAUCGUGGAGUCAAGGUAACAAGCAAUUAUCAAGUGCCUCCGGUAUACCAAGUACUGGGGAUAGGAAGAAAGGCAAAAGAUAGGCCAUGACUUCAAGGAGCUCCCAGUUUAAUGCGGAGAAAAUAUGUAAAUAACUAUGUCAAGCCAAUAUAUAGACGAGAAUUUAGAGAUAGUCACUGAGAGAAGGCACUGGCAGUAAUGGAAAUGGAG